GGCCGCCAACAGCACCCCAGCACCCGGCUAGGACCUGCCCCUCGCCCGCCGGGUCUGUCAUUUUCUUGCCCUCACAAUUGCUGGUUUCCAGAAAAACAAGAGGACCUGUGGUGUCUGCAUCGAACAUAUUCCUCAGAGAACCAGAAAUCUCCAGUGGAGAAAGAGAAUGCAGAUGACUUUUCUCUUUCCACAUGGAAAGCCAGUGCCCACUGCAUAUGUGGGGAGAUGGCACUGAAGAUGGAAAACCUGAGUUCUUGGUGCCUUGCCUAGAAAGUAUUUAUGUAAGAUUAUACUACAAAAUGGAAAAUCUGCAUCUGAGUUCUCAGAAGGAAAAAAAAUAACGUCACACUCUCAGAAUUGCCUUCCUCUUAGAUGUAAUCUGUUGUAAAUGCUUCUGGAUUCCCUUCUGCUGUGUUUGUUUCACACUGCUCUCUCACUCAGCUAUUUAUUCUAAUUCUUCAUGACAAUACAUGAGCCCUCCCAUCCACUGUUUUUCUUUUUAUGCCACAUAGCUUUCAAGCAUUCCGACUUCUUGCUCAGAACUGAUGUAAAUCAGCAAAGAUCCACUACAAGCAAUAUAUCUAUAUUGACUUAUGCCCACUGAGCUCCUGCUUCUUAAAACCCACCUCUACUCUUUAGUAUCUGCAAGACUGUUACCCUUAAAAUCUCACGAAGUGUUAUCCAGUAGGAGAUUUUAACACUGAUUGUUUUUUAGCCCAUCAUACUGACUGUACACACUUCUCCCCUUCCUUCUGUUUUCCUAAAGCAUGCUGUGACACAUCCAGGUGCAAAUAUCUCUACAGUAGAAAGAAAAAUUUCAGUUUCCCUCCAAAAAGUGUUUUUAACUAAUCCUCCACUUUUCCUCUUAAAUUGUGUGUGGCCUUGUUCUGUUUAGUGUUCUAUCUAACAGAGUGUGUUGGAGGAAGAACAGAAAUAAAAUCAAUGAGAGUGGAGUGAGGAAUGGGUUAAUAAUUUCCACAGUUAGGUUAUAAAUUAGAAUUAUAUUUCUUCUAGCCUGGGAGGUUAUUUUAAUCUCAACACUAUGAACAUUUCUCAUGGCCCAUUGCACAUAUGCCACCCACUAAGGACAUUGAAUCUGUGUUGCAAAGAAGAUGCUGACCUCCAGAAAAGGUUCCGUAGUUCAAGCUUAGGAUGUCAAAAAAGAAACAGAUCCUAUCCAACAGAGGCAGGGGUACGGCUUCCAACUAUUCUUGUUUUAUCUCCCUUGGUUGUACUGUAGGAUAUUAAGGGCCUGAAGAAUUACAAAGUGAUCUAUGGGACAUAGGCCCUCUUCUGUAUGCACAAACAGACAGUGUGCAGCUAAACCCUUGCAGGGGUGAUUUGCAAACCCUGAAAUGCUUGGGAUGAAAUUAAGCACACAUGUAAACAUUCAGUAUAUGGUACAGUGUGUUACACUGCAAUCAUCUGCUCUCUAUUGCCCACUUCCUUUGAGAGGACUCUACCUUAUGGGUGGGCCGACAGAACAGGUAGCUGCCACACCAUGUACAAAUGUCUGGUAACUUUUCCGUGGGGAAGUUUUCUCUUUCAGAGUCCUUCUCU